rnacentral:rRNA from 1 species
UAUUGCACAAUGGGCGAAAGCCUGAUGCAGCAACGCCGCGUGAGGGACGACGGCCUUCGGGUUGUAAACCUCUUUUGGCAGGGAAGAAGCGAAAGUGACGGUACCUGCAGAAAAAGCACCGGCUAACUACGUGCCAGCAGCCGCGGUAAUACGUAGGGUGCAAGCGUUAUCCGGAAUUAUUGGGCGUAAAGAGCUCGUAGGCGGUCUGUCGCGUCUGCUGUGAAAACCGGAGGCUCAACCUCCGGCCUGCAGUGGGUACGGGCAGGCUUGAGUGCGGUAGGGGAGACUGGAAUUCCUGGUGUAGCGGUGGAAUGCGCAGAUAUCAGGAGGAACACCGAUGGCGAAGGCAGGUCUCUGGGCCGUAACUGACGCUGAGGAGCGAAAGCGUGGGGAGCGAACAG